CUCUUCCUUUAGUAUUUAAGCUAGGAUGAGUUUUAAAAAUAUUAAUCUUUAUGCCUAUUCCCUAUGUUUUUUCCCUUGUGUCUCCCCUUAGAAAAGCCAAAAGUCACAUUUGCGCUAUAGAGACAUACUGAUUUUAACCAGUUCUAGAUAAAUACAUAUGGCGAUACAUAACAUCAAGAUGACAGGGAAGGAAUCCAUCAGGACUGUUUUUAUGUUACUUCACUUAUUCCUCCUGGAAACCUUGCCAUGUAAGUAUCACUAUGUCUCAUUUAUUUUUACAUUUAUAUAAUCUAUUUGGCAUCUCAUGCCACUGAAACUACAUUUACCGAGGUCACCAACAAUAGCCUCAGUGCUAAAUCUAAAAGACAUCUUUUCAUCUUAUUCUUCAUCUUAAAACAACUUGCUGAUCACUCCUCUGUGAUGUCAUGACAUUAAACGCCCUGCUUUCCUCCUACCCCAGCAGACCACUCCCUCUUUGUCUCUUCUAUCAGCCCUGUAA